ensembl:lncRNA
UCCCAAAUGCAAGAGUCCUGAGACAAAUUCCUGUAACUGAGUUUAUUGAUGAGUCCAGGGCAUCUGAGGAGGCCCUGGCAGGGAGGGACACUAGGCAAGAUGGACACACGUUCAUGCUUGGUGUGUGCUCCUGAUGUUCGGAGCCUCCAGACUCGGUGCGGGCGGGCGGGGCCCCUCACACGCGGGCCCCCCCACUCGGGCCCCCUCCCAGGCACCCGCAAGUGUGGGAAGGGUGCUGGGCGGGGGCACGGGCCAAGGAGGCCUACACAUUCAGCAGUGUGCACACACGCGCGCUUACACACGCUCAGAGACCAGGGCUGGCUCCAGAGCCCCAACCAGUGCAAACGACUUUUAGUGCAAAUUGAUUCAAGGGGGACGGGGAGAACGGGGCUCUGGAGGCUCUGAGUCUCCUGAGCAAAGGAUAGCAGAGAGAAGAUCAGAAAAUAGAGUCAGAAAAGGAGGAAAAGGAGGGAGGGAGGCUGUCGGUGGUCUCGGGGCUGAGGCAGGGGGGGGCCGCAGAGAUGGAGUCGCCGGGCCGGGGUGGGUGUCGCCGCGGGGGCUGCUCUUCCGGUGGUGUGGGUCGUCCGUUCCUUUAGGUCAACCUGCGGACAGAGAGAAGGCGUGAGGGCGGGGCAGGCUGGGCCGGGGGGCGGGGCGGGGGCACUUCGCAGGGGACAGUACCUUCCAGAGCUGAUUCCUGAGUUAGGGUGUGUAGUGGUUCCAAAAUGCAGCAUAUUCUUGAGUCAGAGCUAGAAGACUUGAAGAAGUCCGUGUUCCAAGUCCCAGGCAUGAGCUGGGUAGCACCAUCUCUGCGGGGAGGGAGAGCGUGAGUGCCCACCUCUGGGGCCCAUGCGCCCCGCCACCCUGCAUGUGGCGGGCCCUCUCACCUUGUCAUCUUGAGGGUUCUGGGUGUCUGAAGAGCAGCAGUGGUGUGUCUGCUCCGUCAGGAGACUAAAGGAACGUCGAUAUCCGGGCUCCCCGCGGGGCCAGUGUCCUAUGGGAGAGAGGCGCCUAUGAGGCUCAGUGCGGGUCAGCGGGCCCCGGGUGGGGGCACCGCCCGCAUCUGCACUCACCUGGGAGGCUGGACGGUCCCGCCUGCUCUCUCCAUCACACCGGACCAUAUCAUAUCCCUCUGUGCGCGUCCUGGCCGCCCGGCCUCCGUGGCUGGCAGGCACCAACACCCCACUGGAGACGUGGCUGUGGGCAGAGAGAGAGAGGUGGGGGGCGCUGACUGGGUGGGCAGAGGUGGCCAAGGGCAUCAGGAGGGCAGCGGGCUGGACACUCACCUCCGUCUCCGUUCCGAGCUCAGAGGCACCGAUCCCGCUCCGUCAUCGCCCGCAGAGGCCCGCCUUGGCCACGAGCUCGAAGUCCAAUGCCCCUCCCACUGGCUCGGUGCCCGGCUCUGGCCCCUCGCCCCUGCCUGUGCCCUGGCCUCCCUUCCCCCGAGAGUGCACAUUCACGCCCCCCCACCCGCCCCACCUAGCCUGGUCUCGCCCGUGUCCUUGACUCCCCUGGGUGCUGUUCUAUCUCUCAUGCCCAUCCCAAGGGCCAGCGGUUCGGGUCAAGUGUCCCCAGUGUCCCCAAGUGCACUGGGGCCCUCCCGCGUGGCUCCCGGGCCGCAGUGCUGCGUGGGGCUGGCGUCCACGGGCUGGGCCCGCGCAGCCUCCCUGCUGCAGGUAUCUCUCCGGGCCUGUCCCGCGGCCACCGCCCCCCAGAUGACAUCCCGCCGCGGUUGCCCGCGCACUGCGCUGCCUUCUCUCUCAUUCUCCGGCCCUCGAGGCUCUGGCUCAGGCCUGAGAACGCCUGGCCGGAGCCGCUCCUGUGACCUACUACUAAGUGAAUUACAGUGGGUGAAGUGGCGGCUGGGAACCCCUCUGUCCUGAGUCCCCACCCUGUCCUGCUCGCCCCGGGGGCCUGAGUGCCCCCUACACGUGCUGGCAGCCCUGCCUGCUAAGCUCCCGCCUGGCUCUCUGGAAAUGCCCUUGCCACCUGGGGCAGCCCGCGGCACCCCAUCCCGCGGCCCCCAGCCCGCCCUGUCUCAGCUCCCCUGAGACGAUAUCACCUGUGCUGCCUGACCAGCCUGCGUCCUGCUCUGCCGGGAGGCCAGCCUCUCCACCUCGCUGGCCCGCGCUCCCCAGAACCUCCUUCUGCAGGAGACCAGGAGAGCAAGGACCAGCGAGGAGAAGGGGACUCACCUGGCCGGCAGAGCGCUGUCUUCACCUGCCCACGGCUGCCAGCUACGCCUCCGCUGCCCCAGCCCCAGGGCGAGCCUCUGUCAAGACCCCUGUCCACCAGUCGCCACGAUCUGAAACCAAAAUUGACCGGGAUGAAUGCCUGGCUCCAGAUGUCCAAGGUGAUCCUUGGCCCACCCCACGCAAACUUCCCUGCACCCCACUUCCCCGUCUUCCCCCGGUUACCCCUCCGCGUCCCCGUUUCCCCAGUUCCCCCCGUUUCCCCAGUUCCCCCAGUUUCCCCCGUGCC